GAUGAACGCUGGCGGCGUGCCUAAUACAUGCAAGUCGAGCGAACAGACGAGGAGCUUGCUCCUUUGACGUUAGCGGCGGACGGGUGAGUAACACGUAGGUAACCUACCUAUAAGACUGGGAUAACUUCGGGAAACCGGAGCUAAUACCGGAUAAUAUUUCGAACCGCAUGGUUCGAUAGUGAAAGAUGGCUUUGCUAUCACUUAUAGAUGGACCUGCGCCGUAUUAGCUAGUUGGUAAGGUAACGGCUUACCAAGGCAACGAUACGUAGCCGACCUGAGAGGGUGAUCGGCCACACUGGAACUGAGACACGGUCCAGACUCCUACGGGAGGCAGCAGUAGGGAAUCUUCCGCAAUGGGCGAAAGCCUGACGGAGCAACGCCGCGUGAGUGAUGAAGGUCUUCGGAUCGUAAAACUCUGUUAUUAGGGAAGAACGAACGUGUAAGUAACUGUGCACGUCUUGACGGUACCUAAUCAGAAAGCCACGGCUAACUACGUG
rnacentral:rRNA from 1 species